AUUAAUGAGCUUGUAAAGCAUUUGUUUUGAAAACUUAAGAAAGAAUUAUAUAUAUAUUCUAUUAAUUU
rnacentral:tRNA from 1 species